GACGAACGCUGGCGGCGCGCUUAACACAUGCAAGUCGAACGGAAAGGCCUGCUUUCCCUUGUGGAUUGCGGGUACUCGAGUGGCGAACGGGUGAGUAACACGUGAGUGAUCUGCCCCCAACUUGGGUAUAAGCCUGGGAAACUGGGUCUAAUUCCCGAUAGGACUGCAGGGUGGUGCCUGUGGUGGAAAACGAUUUUCUAGUGGUUGGGGAUGAGCUCGCGGCCUAUCAGCUUGUUGGUGGGGUAAUGGCCUACCAAGGCGGCGACGGGUAGCCGGCCGGAGAGGGGGGACGGUCACAUUGGGACUGGGUCACGGCCCAGACUGCUGCGGGAGGCAGGAGUGGUGAAGAUAGCAGAGUGGGCGGGAGCCUGAUGCAGCGACGCCGUGUGGGGGAUGACGGCCUUCGGAUUGUAUGCUCCUUGCGACCGAGAGGAAGCCACCUGGUUGGAAGCGUGGUGACGGUAGUGGUAGAAGAAGCACCGGCUAACUACGUG
rnacentral:rRNA from 1 species